rnacentral:sRNA from 1 species
GGUCAACGCAGGGAGGAUCAUCAUAUGGGACUUACACAUUCGUUGAAUGUCCUCAUGAUCAGUGCAGCGUUCGCAUUCGUGGCCGUCAUGCUUUUUGUCUGAGCAGGGCCGCUGAAAAGUCCAAACCGAGACAAGGACUUUAAUUUCCGGAAAAUCCAUUU